rnacentral:rRNA from 1 species
UUAGAGUUUGCUCUUGGCGCAGGAUGAACGCUAGCGGCAGGCUUAACACAUGCAAGUCGAGGGGCAGCGAGAUCAGUGCUUGCACUGAUUGUCGGCGACCGGCGCACGGGUGCGUAACGCGUAUGCAACCUACCCAUUACAGGGGGAUAACACUGAGAAAUCGGUACUAAUACCCCAUAACAUCCAGGGAGGCAUCUUCUUGGGUUGAAAACUCCGGUGGUAAUGGAUGGGCAUGCGUUGUAUUAGUUAGUUGGUGGGGUAACGGCUCACCAAGACAACGAUACAUAGGGGGACUGAGAGGUUAACCCCCCACAUUGGUACUGAGACACGGACCAAACUCCUACGGGAGGCAGCAGUGAGGAAUAUUGGUCAAUGGACGCAAGUCUGAACCAGCCAUGCCGCGUGCAGGAAGACGGCUCUAUGAGUUGUAAACUGCUUUUGUACGAGGGUAAACGCAGAUACGCGUAUCUGUCUGAAAGUAUCGUACGAAUAAGGAUCGGCUAACUCCGUGCCAGCAGCCGCGGUAAUACGGAGGAUUCAAGCGUUAUCCGGAUUUAUUGGGUUUAAAGGGUGCGUAGGCGGUCGGAUAAGUUAGAGGUGAAAUCCCGGGGCUCAACUUCGGAAUUGCCUCUGAUACUGUUCGGCUAGAGAGUAGUUGCGGUAGGCGGAAUGUAUGGUGUAGCGGUGAAAUGCUUAGAGAUCAUACAGAACACCGAUUGCGAAGGCAGCUUACCAAGCUACUUCUGACGUUGAGGCACGAAAGCGUGGGGAGCAAACAGGAUUAGAUACCCUGGUAGUCCACGCAGUAAACGAUGAUAACUCGUUGUCGGCGAUACAGUGUCGGUGACUAAGCGAAAGCGAUAAGUUAUCCACCUGGGGAGUACGUUCGCAAGAAUGAAACUCAAAGGAAUUGACGGGGGCCCGCACAAGCGGAGGAACAUGUGGUUUAAUUCGAUGAUACGCGAGGAACCUUACCCGGGCUUGAAAGUUAGUGACGGAUCUUGAAAGAGGUCUUCCCUUCGGGGCACGAAACUAGGUGCUGCAUGGUUGUCGUCAGCUCGUGCCGUGAGGUGUCGGGUUAAGUCCCAUAACGAGCGCAACCCCUACCGUUAGUUGCCAGCAGGUCAAGCUGGGCACUCUGACGGGACUGCCGGUGUAAGCCGAGAGGAAGGUGGGGAUGACGUCAAAUCAGCACGGCCCUUACGUCCGGGGCUACACACGUGUUACAAUGGCAGGUACAGAGGGCAGCUACCCAGCGAUGGGAUGCGAAUCUCGAAAGCCUGUCUCAGUUCGGAUUGGAGGCUGAAACCCGCCUCCAUGAAGUUGGAUUCGCUAGUAAUCGCGCAUCAGCCAUGGCGCGGUGAAUACGUUCCCGGGCCUUGCACACACCGCCCGUCA